UUGUGCUUGUGUUUGUUUGAUUGUGCUAUUUAGGAUAGCUUGCUCCCUGUGCAAGUUAGGGUAGAAACCUCAACCUAGGACCAUUGAGGAUUACAUGAUAACUAUUAGGCUCGAGUCAGGCUCCCUUCUAGUUUUUCAUUUCCCAGUCUCUGGUUAGGUUAGAAGUUCUUUCCCUGUUAAGGGGAACUACGUCGCCCUGAUCCUCAUACCAGAUGAGGUACGUAGGCAGGAGAUGAGCUGAUCUCUCCGGGCGCCCUUUUUC
rnacentral:lncRNA from 1 species